UGGGGAAUAUUCCACAAUGGACGCAAGUCUGAUGGAGCGACGCCGCGUGAGGGAUGAAGGUUUUCGGAUUGUAAACCUCUGUUAUAAGGAAAGAACGUUACAUAUGCUAAUACCAUGUGUAAAUGACGGUACCUUAUGAGUAAGCCACGGCUAACUACGUGCCAGCAGCCGCGGUAAUACGUAGGUGGCAAGCGUUGUCCGGAAUUAUUGGGCGUAAAGCGCGCGCAGGUGGUUAAAUAAGUCUGAUUUAAAAGUUCGGGGCUCAACCCCGUGAUGGGUCAGAAACUGUUUGACUUGAGUACAGUAGAGGUAAGCGGAAUUCCCAGUGUAGCGGUGAAAUGCGUAGAUAUUGGGAGGAACACCAGUGGCGAAGGCGGCUUACUGGGCUGUAACUGACACUGAGGCGCGAAAGCUAGGGUAGCGAACGGG
rnacentral:rRNA from 1 species